CAGUGUUACAGCUCUUUUAGAAUUUGUCUAGCAGGUUUUAUGUGUUUUUUCCGUAAAACCCCC
rnacentral:snRNA from 1 species